GCGAUUGAGAGAACUCUCUCCAAGGAACUCGGCAAAUUACCACCGUAACUUCGGAAGAAGGUGGGCCCUCCGUAGGUGUAGUCGUACAGACGAAGCCGAUGAGGGUUGCAGAGAAAUGGCGGUAGCGACUGUUUACCAAAAACACAGGACUCUGCGAAGACGACAAGUCGACGUAUAGGGUCUGACUCCUGCCCGGUGCUGGAAGGUUAAGGGGAUUCGUCAGCCGCAAGGCGAAGCGAUGAUCCGAAGCCCCAGUAAACGGCGGCCGUAACGAUAAAGGUCCUAAGGUAGCGAAAUUCCUUGUCGGGUAAGUUCCGACCUGCACGAAUGGAGUAACGACUUCCGCGCUGUCUCGGAGAGGGACUCAGCGAAAUUGAAAUAGCUGUGCCGAUGCAGUUUACCCGCAGCAAGACGGAAAGACCCCGUGAACCUUUACUACAACUUGACAGUGACACUAGGGAUUGACUGUGUAGGAUAGGUGGGAGCCUUUGAAACCGGGCCGCUAGGUUCGGUGGAGGCAACGGUGAAAUACCACCCUGUUGGUUUCUGGUGUCUAACCGUGUCCCAUAAUCUGGGAUCGGGACACUGUCUGGUGGGUAGUUUGACUGGGGCGGUCGCCUCCCAAAGCGUAACGGAGGUGCGCGAUGGUUCCCUCAGCCCGAUUGGAAACCGGGCGGCGAGUGCAAUGGCAUAAGGGAGCUUAACUGCGAGACAGACAUGUCGAGCAGGUGCGAAAGCAGGUCAUAGUGAUCCGGUGGUUCUGAAUGGAAGGGCCAUCGCUCAACGGAUAAAAGGUACUCCGGGGAUAACAGGCUUAUCUCCUCCAAGAGUUCACAUCGACGAGGAGGCUUGGCACCUCGAUGUCGGCUCAUCGCAUCCUGGGGCUGGAGCAGGUCCCAAGGGUUUGGCUGUUCGCCAAUUAAAGCGGUACGCGAGCUGGGUUCAAAACGUCGUGAGACAGUUUGGUCCCUAUCUGCUGUGGGCGUAGGAUACUUGAGAGGAUCUGUCCUUAGUACGAGAGGACCGGGAUGGAGACACCUCUGGUGUACCAGUUGUCACGCCAGUGGCAUCGCUGGGUAGCCAUGUGUCGAUUGGAUAACCGCUGAAAGCAUCUAAGCGGGAAACCGACCUCAAGAAUAGGUAUCCCGGGGGAAACCCCCUGAGGACCCGUCGAAGACUACGACGUUGAUAGGCCGGGUGUGUAAGCGUGGCAACACGUUGAGCUAACCGGUACUAAUUGGUCGUGCGGCUUACUUC
rnacentral:rRNA from 1 species